rnacentral:rRNA from 1 species
AGGACGAACGCUGGCGGCGUGCUUAACACAUGCAAGUCGAGCGGUAAGGCUCCUUCGGGAGUACACGAGCGGCGAACGGGUGAGUAACACGUGAGCAAUCUGCCCUUCACUUUGGGAUAACUUCCGGAAACGGAAGCUAAUACCGAAUACGACCAUUACAGACAUCUGUUGAUGGUGGAAAGUUCCGGCGGUGAAGGAUGAGCUCGCGGCCUAUCAGCUUGUUGGUGAGGUAACGGCCCACCAAGGCGACGACGGGUAGCCGGCCUGAGAGGGUGACCGGCCACACUGGGACUGAGACACGGCCCAGACUCCUACGGGAGGCAGCAGUGGGGAAUAUUGGACAAUUGGCGAAAGCCUGAUCCAGCAACGCCGCGUGAGGGAUGACGGCCUUCGGGUUGUAAACCUCUUUCAGCAGGGACGAAGCGAGAGUGACGGUACCUGCAAAGAAGCACCGGCCAACUACGCGCCAGCAGCCGCGGUAA